rnacentral:rRNA from 1 species
GAUUGAACGCUGGCGGCAGGCUUAACACAUGCAAGUCGAGCGGUAGCACARGGGAGCUUGCUCCCUGGGUGACGAGCGGCGGACGGGUGAGUAAUGUCUGGGAAACUGCCUGAUGGAGGGGGAUAACUACUGGAAACGGUAGCUAAUACCGCAUAACGUCGCAAGACCAAAGAGGGGGACCUUCGGGCCUCUUGCCAUCAGAUGUGCCCAGAUGGGAUUAGCUAGUAGGUGGGGUAAUGGCUCACCUAGGCGACGAUCCCUAGCUGGUCUGAGAGGAUGACCAGCCACACUGGAACUGAGACACGGUCCAGACUCCUACGGGAGGCAGCAGUGGGGAAUAUUGCACAAUGGGCGCAAGCCUGAUGCAGCCAUGCCGCGUGUGUGAAGAAGGCCUUCGGGUUGUAAAGCACUUUCAGCGAGGAGGAAGGUGGUGAGCUUAAUACGYUCAUCAAUUGACGUUACUCGCARAARAAGCACCGGCUAACUCC